GGAGCCUGAACAUAAAACUUCCAUAAUGGAUGAUCCAAAAAAGCAGUAAAAGCUUGCAUGUUUUAUAUGGAAUGCUACAAAGUUUAGUAUUGAUUACUGAGAGUUGCCGUUUAUGUGGCCAUGCUUAGUCUACAGAUUCUGAUCUUCCACAGGGGGAUCUGGGCUUAAUUGAUGCCUCAGCCUGCAUUUCCCAGGAGAAGAGGACUUUGAAAAAACAGAGACAAUAUUUUCAGAAAUUUCCUGACCAGAGGUUCUUGUGAUGAUGAAUGUUUUAACAGUUUGGAAGUCCAAAGAUUAAGGUCUUCUCUGUGCAACACUUUUCCUCAGUGUAUUCAUCUGGUUUGGUCUUCAAUCAUACAAUGAUUCACAUUCAAAAGCGUCAAGAUUCUUGAAAUAGGUGGGGGAAAGGACAUACCAGAGACUGAAUAGGAAUAAUGGUCAUCUUACAGGUAUGGUCCAUUAGGUGCUAAUUCAGUCCCAUGAUCAGUGGCUUGUUUGAGGUAUCCGGAGUAGAUAUUCAAGG